rnacentral:tRNA from 1 species
GCCUUCGUGGUGUAGUGGUCAGCACGCUUGGUGCACAUUCAAGAGGUCCGUGGUUCGAGUCCCGGCGACGGCA